rnacentral:rRNA from 1 species
CAUGUCUUUUUGAUUAUAAUUUAAAGUCUGGCCUGCCCUAUGAAUUAUUUUUAAAUGGCUGCGGUACUUUGACCGUGCAAAGGUAGCAUAAUAAUUAGUUUCUUAAUUGGGAACUGGAAUGAAUGGUUUGACGAGAGAAGGACUGUCUCAAUUUAAUUUAAAUUAGAACUUUAUUUUUAAGUAAAAAAGCUUAAAUAAUCUUAAAAGACGAGAAGACCCUAUAGAGUUUUAUAUUCGUUUAUAUAAUUGAUCGUUGAAGAAUCUUAAAAUAUUUAGUUAUAUAAAUUAGUAUUUGGUUGGGGCAAUUAAAAAAUUGAAUGAACUUUUUUUAAAUUAUAACAUUGAUGUAUGAAUAAGUGAUCCAUAAUUUAUGAUUAUAAGAUUAAAUUACCUUAGGGAUAACAGCGUAAUUUUUUUUUAGAGUC